rnacentral:rRNA from 1 species
ACUCCUACGGGAGGCAGCAGUGGGGGAAUAUUGCACAAUGGGCGCAAGCCUGAUGCAGCAACGCCGUGUGAGUGAAGAAAGGUUUUCGGAUCGUAAAAACUCUGUCCUAAGGGAAGAAAAAAAUAGACGGUACCUUAGGAGGAAGCCCGGCCUAACUACGUGCCAGCAGCCGCGGUAAUACGUAGGGGGCGAAGCGUUAUCCGGAAUCACUGGGGCGUAAAGGGGUGCGUAGGCGGCUUAGCAAGCCAGGGGUGAAAGGCAUUGGCUCAACCAAUGUAAGCCUUUGGAACUGUUAAGCUUGAGUGCAGGAGAGGUAAGUGGAAUUCCUAGUGUAGAGGUGAAAUUCGUAGAUAUUAGGAGGAACACCAGUGGCGAAGGCGACUUACUGGACUGUAACUGACGCUGAUGCACGAAAGCGUGGGUAGCGAACAGGAUUAGAUACCCUGGUAGGUCAGUC